GAUGAACGCUAGCGGCAGGCUUAACACAUGCAAGUCGGACGGGAUCAGGGAGCUUGCUCCCUGUGAGAGAGGCGCACGGGUGCGUAACACGUAUGUAACCUACCUUUCUCAGGGGGAUAGCCUCUCGAAAGAGAGAUUAACACCGCAUAACAUCAAGAUGAAGCAUUUCAAUGUGAUCAAAUAUUUAUAGGAUAAAGAUGGGCAUGCGGGACAUUAGCUAGUUGGCGGGGUAACGGCCCACCAAGGCGACGAUGUCUAGGGGAUCUGAGAGGAUGACCCCCCACACUGGUACUGAGACACGGACCAGACUCCUACGGGAGGCAGCAGUAAGGAAUAUUGGUCAAUGGACGCAAGUCUGAACCAGCCAUGCCGCGUGCAGGAAGACGGCCCUACGGGUUGUAAACUGCUUUUGUACCGGAAUAAACCUUUUCACGUGUGAGAAGCUGAAUGUACGGUAAGAAUAAGGAUCGGCUAACUCCGUGCCAGCAGCCGCCGUAAUAC
rnacentral:rRNA from 1 species